UCCCUAGUAGCUCAGAUGGUAAAGCUCCUGUCUGCAAUGUGGGAGACCCGGGUUCGAUCCUGGGUUGGGAA
rnacentral:tRNA from 1 species